rnacentral:lncRNA from 1 species
CCCGGAGAGGAGAGACCAGAAGCCUGGGAUAUAUGUGACCUGAGAAGCAAGGAGAUGGCAUAGUUGGGCAUGGCUCUUUAUCAAAGACCCCUUUCCUCUCCUGGGGUCUCUGGCCCCUAGAUCUCUGACCUUCUCUGGUGUCUUUUCUCUUCCAUCUUACAGAGCCUGCCAAGGUCAAUGAGAAGAAGACACAAAGGAACAGAUCAAGAGCCAAUUCUUGACAAAGAGUAAAUAAAUCCUGGAAGGAGCUGAAGAACAAAACAGUGCUCCCAACCCCAGCACGGAGAAGGACUCCUCUUUUCUUUAAUUCAAUUUUGCUAUAACAGAAAAAUUUAAAAAGUGAGAGAAUAGUAAAAUGGCCUGACGUUCUCACCAUUUAAUUUGGAACACGUGUUGACCCUGGCCUCGUCUUUUCUCAUCUCUUUCUGACUCUCUCCACCAUGUGGAUGAUCUCAUACUUUAUCUGCAGGUGCUUCUGUGACCUUAAUAUAGGACUUUAGAAGACACAACUCUAGAGCUGGAGAGAUGGCUGACUGGAUAAACUGCCACCAAAGACUGGAACCCAAGUUCUAGUCCUAGAUUCCAUGUAAAGAUAGGAGGAGAGAGCUGAAUCCUGAAAAUUUUUCUCUAACCUCCAUAUGUGUGUUUCUCUCUCUCUCUCUCUCUCACACACACACACGUUCAUACUCACACGUGCAUGCACACCUGUUAAUAAUAAUAAGCAAAAAGUUAAAAAAGAAAUCACA